GGAUUAGGCAUGCAAGUCGUACGGCUAAGGUUUUCGGAUCUUGGCAGUGGUGAAAGGGUGAGUAAUGCAUAGUUAACCUACCCUUGACUUCGGGAUAACUGAGGGAAACUUCAGCUAAUAUUGGAUAGGCUCGGAAUUAGGAAUCUUUUGCCGAGUAAAGGGGGCCUCUUAACAAUGCUCUCGGUUGAGGACGGGGUUAUGUCCUAUCAGCUAGUUGGUGGGGUAACGGUCUACCAAGGCAAUGAUGGGUAGCCGAUCUGAGAGGGUGACCGGCCACACUGGGACUGAGACACUGCCCAGAUUCCUACGGGAGGCUGCAGUCGAGAAUCUUCCGCAAUGGGGGCACAAUCCUGAUGGAGUGACGCUGCGUGCGGGAGGAAGGCCUUCGGGUUGUAAACCGCUGUCACGGAUUAAGAACUGGCCGGGCGUUAAUCGCGCUCGGUCUUGACAAAGGUCCGGGAGGAAGCCACGGCUAACUUCGUGCCAGCAGCCGCGGUAAGACGAAGGUGGCGACCGUUGUUCGGAAUUACUGGGCAUAAAGCGCACGUAGGCGGCAAUGUAAGUCAGGUGUGAAAUCCCUCGGCCUAACCGAGGAAUUGCGCUUGAUACUGUGUUGCUUGAGGGCAGGAGGGGAGCGUGGAAUUCCUGGUGGAGCGGUGAAAUGCGUUGAUAUCAGGAGGAACACUGGCGGCGAAGGCGAUGCUCUGGCCUGCUUCUGACGCUGAGGUGCGAAAGCCAGGGGAGCAAACGGGAUUAGAUAUCUUGGUAGUCUUGGCCGUAAACGAUGGGCACUAAGUAGAGGGGUU
rnacentral:rRNA from 1 species